ensembl:lncRNA
GUAUACUCUCAUCUUAACAAGGUUAGGUCUUCCAAUCUGUGAAUAUGGGCUGUCUUUCCAUUUAGAUGCUCAUCCUGGAGACUGUUCCAUGUGCACUUGAGAAAACCGUGGGUGAUACUGUUGCUGAGUCCAAGUUGUCCAAGUUGUCCAUAUUAUGUCUUGGUCCUCAAUUUCUUUCCCAAUCUUCUGCUUCAUGGUUGUCUCCAUUAUCAGAAGUGGGGUGCCAAAGACUCCAACUGUUAUGCAGAACUGCUUAUUUCUGCUUUUAAGACUCGAAGGAGGAGCUAGUGAUGUAGACUGGCUUUGGCGCUCAUCAGGUGAGCAAACCUGAGUUUGGCUUGGCAGCAUGAGGAUUAAUUUAGGCUGAUUAUGUUUAAGGCCCCAAAGACUCAGGAAGAACCUCUGACCUUUCCCCUAACUGCUUAAGGAUGUGGACAGAAG